UAGGGAAUCUUCCACAAUGGACGCAAGUCUGAUGGAGCAACGCCGCGUGAGUGAAGAAGGCUUUCGGGUCGUAAAACUCUGUUAUUGAAGAAGAACGUGUGUGACAGUAACUGGUCAUGCAGUGACGGUAUUCAAUCAGAAAGUCACGGCUAACUACGUGCCAGCAGCCGCGGUAAUACGUAGGUGGCAAGCGUUGUCCGGAUUUAUUGGGCGUAAAGCGAGUGCAGGCGGUCUUUUAAGUCUGAUGUGAAAGCCUUCGGCUUAACCGAAGAAGGGCAUCGGAAACUGGGAGACUUGAGUGCAGAAGAGGAGAGUGGAACUCCAUGUGUAGCGGUGAAAUGCGUAGAUAUAUGGAAGAACACCAGUGGCGAAGGCGCUCUCUGUCUGUAACUGACGCU
rnacentral:rRNA from 1 species